GCUCGCUUCUGCAGCAUAUACUAAAAUUGGAACAAUACAGAGAAGACUAGCAUGGCCCGUGCACAAGGAGGACACACAAAUUCAUGUAGUGUUCCAUAUUUAA